rnacentral:rRNA from 1 species
AACGCGAAGAACCUUACCAAGGUUUGACAUGGCCGGAAAAGCAUCAGAGAUGGUGUGUCCUUCGGGUCGGUCACAGGUGGUGCAUGGCUGUCGUCAGCUCGUGUCGUGAGAUGUUGGGUUAAGUCCCGCAACGAGCGCAACCCUCGUCCUAUGUUGCCAGCGGGUCAUGCCGGGGACUCAUGGGAGACUGCCGGGGUCAACUCGGAGGAAGGUGGGGAUGACGUCAAGUCAUCAUGCCCCUUAUGUCUUGGGCUGCAAACAUGCUACAAUGGCCGGUACAAAGGGCUGCGAACUCGCGAGGGUAAGCGAAUCCCAUAAAGCCGGUCUCAGUUCGGAUCGGGGUCUGCAACUCGGCCCCGUGAAGCUGGAGUCGCUAGUAAUCGCGGAUCAGCAACGCCGCGGUGAAUACGUUCCCGGGCCUUGUA